rnacentral:rRNA from 1 species
AAAUUGAAGAGUUUGAUCAUGGCUCAGAUUGAACGCUGGCGGCAGGCCUAACACAUGCAAGUCGAACGGUAACAGAAAGCAGCUUGCUGCUUUGCUGACGAGUGGCGGACGGGUGAGUAAUGUCUGGGAAACUGCCCGAUGGAGGGGGAUAACUACUGGAAACGGUAGCUAAUACCGCAUAACGUCGCAAGACCAAAGAGGGGGACCUUAGGGCCUCUUGCCAUCGGAUGUGCCCAGAUGGGAUUAGCUAGUAGGUGGGGUAAUGGCUCACCUAGGCGACGAUCCCUAGCUGGUCUGAGAGGAUGACCAGCCACACUGGAACUGAGACACGGUCCAGACUCCUACGGGAGGCAGCAGUGGGGAAUAUUGCACAAUGGGCGCAAGCCUGAUGCAGCCAUGCCGCGUGUAUGAAGAAGGCCUUCGGGUUGUAAAGUACUUUCAGCGGGGAGGAAGGGAGUAAAGUUAAUACCUUUGCUCAUUGACGUUACCCGCAGAAGAAGCACCGGCUAACUCCGUGCCAGCAGCCGCGGUAAUACGGAGGGUGCAAGCGUUAAUCGGAAUUACUGGGCGUAAAGCGCACGCAGGCGGUUUGUUAAGUCAGAUGUGAAAUCCCCGGGCUCAACCUGGGAACUGCAUCUGAUACUGGCAAGCUUGAGUCUCGUAGAGGGGGGGUAGAAUUCCAGGUGUAGCGGUGAAAUGCGUAGAGAUCUGGAGGAAUACCGGUGGCGAAGGCGGCCCCCCUGGACGAAGACUGACGCUCAGGUGCGAAAGCGUGGGGAGCAAACAGGAUUAGAUACCCUGGUAGUCCACGCCGUAAACGAUGUCGACUUGGAGGUUGUGCCCUUGAGGCGUGGCUUCCGGAGCUAACGCGUUAAGUCGACCGCCUGGGGAGUACGGCCGCAAGGUUAAAACUCAAAUGAAUUGACGGGGGCCCGCACAAGCGGUGGAGCAUGUGGUUUAAUUCGAUGCAACGCGAAGAACCUUACCUGGUCUUGACAUCCACGGAAGUUUUCAGAGAUGAGAAUGUGCCUUCGGGAACCGUGAGACAGGUGCUGCAUGGCUGUCGUCAGCUCGUGUUGUGAAAUGUUGGGUUAAGUCCCGCAACGAGCGCAACCCUUAUCCUUUGUUGCCAGCGGUCCGGCCGGGAACUCAAAGGAGACUGCCAGUGAUAAACUGGAGGAAGGUGGGGAUGACGUCAAGUCAUCAUGGCCCUUACGACCAGGGCUACACACGUGCUACAAUGGCGCAUACAAAGAGAAGCGACCUCGCGAGAGCAAGCGGACCUCAUAAAGUGCGUCGUAGUCCGGAUUGGAGUCUGCAACUCGACUCCAUGAAGUCGGAAUCGCUAGUAAUCGUGGAUCAGAAUGCCACGGUGAAUACGUUCCCGGGCCUUGUACACACCGCCCGUCACACCAUGGGAGUGGGUUGCAAAAGAAGUAGGUAGCUUAACCUUCGGGAGGGCGCUUACCACUUUGUGAUUCAUGACUGGGGUGAAGUCGUAACAAGGUAACCGUAGGGGAACCUGCGGUUGGAUCACCUCCUUA